AUAAUAGUGCAUGUUCAGCAAUCCUCGGGUUUUACCGCCGCAUACUACGAAAACUCUGAGCAUGCGCACUUUUACCGCCUGAAUUUUGAAAACAGUGAUAAAAGUUGCAGUGAAAUCUAUCUCGAUUCAGAUUCCAGAACAAAGAAAAAGAAUCUUGUAUAAAAAUUCACAGAUCCAAUGUGUGAUCAUGUGUCUGAGGUUGUGGAAUGCACAAGAUGGACCAAGAUAUAAAAAGAGACUGGAAACCAACACAAGACCAGCUGAUGAGAGGGCAGAAAACCAAAACUUUGAAUGCCACGUAUACAACCGACACAAGACUAGAAUUUGGAAUAAAAUUUCAAAAAAUCAGAAACAUACUAUUAUUUUAUUAUUGGUUCAUGUACAUAAGAAAAAAGAAGUCCUAACUUUUGGGUAGG